GAUCCUGGCUCAGGAUGAACGCUAGCUACAGGNUUAACACAUGCAAGUCGAGGGGCAGCAUGGUCUUAGCUUGCUAAGGCCGAUGGCGACCGGCGCACGGGUGAGUAACACGUAUCCAACCUGCCGUCUACUCUUGGACAGCCUUCUGAAAGGAAGAUUAAUACAAGAUGGCAUCAUGAGUUCACAUGUUCACAUGAUUAAAGGUAUUCCGGUAGACGAUGAACA
rnacentral:rRNA from 1 species